GCUUGUCUCAAAGAUUAAGCCAUGCAUGUCUAAGUAUAAAUCUUUUACUUUGAAACUGCGAACGGCUCAUUAUAUCAGUUAUAGUUUAUUUGAUAGUCCCUUACUACUUGGAUAACCGUAGUAAUUCUAGAGCUAAUACAUGCAUUAAACCCCGACUUCUGGAAGGGGUGUAUUUAUUAGAUGGAAACCAAUGCGGGGUAACCCGGAAUAUGGUGAUUCAUAAUAACUUUCGGAUCGAUUUAUCGAUGCAUCAUUCAAGUUUCUGCCCUAUCAGCUUUGGAUGGUAGGGUAUUGGCCUACCAUGGCUUUAACGGGUAACGGAGAAUUAGGGUUCGAUUCCGGAGAGGGAGCCUGAGAAAUGGCUACCACAUCCAAGGAAGGCAGCAGG
rnacentral:rRNA from 1 species